GACGAACGCUGGCGGCGUGCCUAAUACAUGCAAGUCGAGCGAACAGACGCGGAGCUUGCUCCUCUGUCGUUUGCGGCGGACGGGAGAGUAACACGUGGAUAACCUACUUAUCAGACUGGGAUAACUUCGGGAAACCGGAGCUUAUACCGGAUAAUAUAUUGAACCGCGUGGUUCAAUAGUGAAAGACGGCUUUGCUGUCUCUUCUAGCUGGAUCCGGGCCGUAUUAGCUGGUUGGUAAGUUAACGGCUUACCAAGGCUACGAUGCGUAGCCGACCUGAGAGGGUGGUCGGCCGCCCUGGAAGUGAGACACGGUCAAUGCUACUACGAGACGCAGCAGAAGGGUAUGUGACGCAAUAGGCGGAAGCCUGGCGGAACGGGGGCGAGUGUGAGGUGGAAAUGUUGGGAUCGUGAAGCUGUGUUAUGAGGGAAGAACAGAUGUGGAAGGAGCUGUGGAGGUCUUGACGGUACCGGAUCAGAAAGCAACGGCUAACUACGUG
rnacentral:rRNA from 1 species